rnacentral:ncRNA from 2 species
CGGGUCGGCUGAGCGGCAGGUGGCCGGCCCCGGUGGGGCGGGCUGAAAAGGGAACCGGGUGCAACUCCCGGACAGACGCGCUACUGUGAGGGCGGGCCGCUCCGGCGGCUCCGGCUCCCCUUCGCGACCCAUUACCCGCCACGGCGGGUGGAGAAGGGCGGGGAGCCGGACACCCGAGUCAGGAGACCUGCCCGCCGCUUGUACGACGA